rnacentral:rRNA from 1 species
UACGUAGGCAGCAAGCGUUGUUCGGAGUUACUGGGCGUAAAGGGUGUGUAGGCGGUUUUCUAAGUCUGGUGUGAAAUCUCCCGGCUCAACUGGGGGGGUGCGCCGAAAACUGGAAGGCUAGAGUGCGGGAUGGGAGAGUGGAAUUCCUGGUGUAGCGGUGAAAUGCGUAGAUAUCAGGAGGAACACCUGUGGUGUAGACGGCUCUCUGGACCGCAACUGACGCUGAGACACGAAAGCGUGGGUAGCAAACAGG